rnacentral:rRNA from 1 species
CCUACGGGGUGCAGCAGUGGGGAAUAUUGCGCAAUGGGCGAAAGCCUGACGCAGCGACGCCGCGUGAGGGAUGAAGGUCUUCGGAUCGUAAACCUCUGUCAGCAGGGAAGAACGGUCACUGUGCUAAUCAGCAGUGAAUUGACGGUACCUGAAGAAGAAGCCCCGGCUAACUACGUGCCAGCAGCCGCGGUAAUACGUAGGGGGCAAGCGUUAUCCGGAUUUACUGGGUGUAAAGGGGGCGCAGACGGCGAUGCAAGCCAGGAGUGAAAGCCCGGGGCCCAACCCCGGGACUGCUCUUGGAACUGCGUGGCUGGAGUGCAGGAGGGGCAGGCGGAAUUCCUGGUGUAGCGGUGAAAUGCGUAGAUAUCAGGAGGAACACCGGUGGCGAAGGCGGCCUGCUGGACUGCAACUGACGUUGAGGCCCGAAAGCGUGGGGAGCAAACAGGAUUAGAUACCCGGGUAGUC